UCGAGGGGCAGCAUGAGGAGUCAGCAAUGACACCUUGAUGGCGACCGGCGGAAGGGUGCGUAACGCGUGAGCAACCUGCCCGUCACAGGGGGAUAACCGGUGGAAACGCCGACUAAUAUCCCAUGGUUUCCUUUGGGGGCAUCCCCGAGGGAUUAAAGGCUUCGGCCGGUGACGGAUGGGCUCGCGUGACAUUAGGCAGUAGGCGGGGUAACGGCCCACCUAACCUACGAUGUCUAGGGGUUCUGAGAGGAAGGUCCCCACACUGGAACUGAGACACGGUCCAGACUCC
rnacentral:rRNA from 2 species